GGACUUUGCUAUUACAGCAGCAGGCUGCAGCCCGAGGGCUUCCAGUUCCAGCUGUACCCACUCAGGAACCUGAUGUGAGAAAGCACUGAUGGGGUUUUUCACAUACUCAAAGGCAUCCACGUGAUCUACCAGGCACUGCUCUCCACCUCCUUCCUCUGAAGGAUCUUCGGUGACUGCGAUGCCAACGCUCCCAAAGUUUCAAGAAGCGCUCGCUGACAUCAUCUGCAAGACUGGCAAACCUGUGUGUCCACAAGCAGAACCAGAGCCCGAGGAGAGCUGAGGAUCCAUCACACUACUGUGGAUGUUUCCA